rnacentral:lncRNA from 12 species
AUGAACAGAAACCGCAGCCGAAGAAGCAAAAGAAAGGCUGCACGAUUAGCAAAAGUCAAAGAACACUUUGCUAAGAGGGAAGAAGAACAGAAACAAGGGACCAAGACCAAAGAAAGUGAAGGUAUAGCAGACACCAGCAUGCAGGAACAUUCAUCAUUGCUGAAGAAGACACCAUGCAGUUCCCUGUCACAACAAACUGCUCAAGCCCCAGCGUGUAACCAAAUAUCACCCUCUCCAGCAGAGUAUAGUGGAGAUUCCACUGACAUCGUCAAACAAGCUAUAACACAAGAUGAAGAAGACAACAUAAUUAACUCCAAGACUAAUUUAUCCACAGCAAACACAAAUUUACCCCUGGAAGACUCCAUCAGUUGUGAUGAAUCAAUCGCGUGCUUGGCUUCUGAGGUCUUGGAAGACAUCCAACAAAGCGAGUGCAUUACUGACCAAACGGUUUCAAUCAAUCAGGCUCAUCCUGUAUGUCAAAAUCCUGACUUGUCUAAUAGCAAGAAUGUUGAAAAAGCAUGGAAGGAAUUUGAGAAGGAUGCUAAGCAAAGAAUUAAAAGUUUGGCACUAAGCUCUCAUGAGGACAUGAAUAUUAGCGAUGGGAAACCAAAAGAGGAUGCGAGUUUGAAAACUAAUUCAGAGCCUCAGCUGUGCUCCCAUGGUUUCACAUUUGGGACCAUUGUAGCCCCACUUUAUCAUCAGGUUUUUAAAAACAUGGAAACAGAGAGAAAAAAACUCUUUCCGAAAGGUUUAGAUAGGUCAUUUAGGAAACUAGAGCAUGAGAGUCAAAGAGCGGUCACAGCCCCUGAGACCACCGACAUUUGGCCAGAGUCUUGCAUAUCUACAAAACAGACAGUAGAUGAUAUUAAUGUUGGCGUCUGCAAAGAAUCAACAGAACAGAACUCACAACUUACAGUAAACCCAACCAAAAAACCUCUUCCGGAGCCAGAUGAGAGUAAACAUGUUAAAAACGCAGAAGCGUCUUACAAUCAAAAUGAUUGUACCAGUAGUAUUAGAGAGCACCCAAGAGACAUCACAUUUACCGAAACAAACCCUACAAAAGUUACAUCCAGGCAGCCAGAUCCUCCAGUAGGAGAAGUUUCAACAGUGUGCACACUCACAGUCACACUAGCUUUGACUGAAUGCUCUAUCCAGGAUGAUCCUUGCCAAAGUCUGGAAAUCUUAUUUCCUCAACAAGGACCAGAACUUUUAGUCACUACAAAUCAAACAAUAGAGUCAGCUACUGACAGCCUACCUGAACAGAUUCAUCCACCAUCACCCACAGCAGUUUUGGAAACUUCAUCAUGUUUGGAUAAUCAGAGGUCCUGUAUAAAAACUGAAAAGUCACAGAACCAGGAGGACCCUACAAUUAUCCACACCAAAGAGGAGAAUAUAUCCGAGCAAGCAGAAUAUUCAAUCAACACUUCUUGCUUUCUAGCCCAAGCUCCAGAGGACCCCACAAGAAGCACUCUGAGUUACUCUGAGCCUGACUGCUGUGAGAUGAGAUCGAGCAUUGAAAACCUUAAAGAACCCUCUCACUUAGCAAUAGCAAAAGCUAUGCCAAUAGAACCAUAUACACAACUGGAGAACACACAUAUGAGCAAUACUUUGGAGAGCUACCAGAUGAAUGAAAAGGAGGAACAAAUACUCAUGGGUUUUUCUACACAGACUUCAAAGAGGGAGAGCUCCAACAUUAUUCAUUUUGAAGCAGAACAUAACACAUCAGUGAUUAAAGAGAUGGAAGAAAUUCACAAAAUUAAAAAUGCUGAAAGCCUGGAAGAGCAAGUAGAGGGAAAUGGAAAUCAUAUUAAGCAGAUGGAGAAGCAGAAACAAGACAACAAGGAGAAAGACCAAGAACCAGAAGAACAAGAAGGCGCAGAAGAAAAACAUGAAAGUAAUGGAGGAAUAAAUAGCAUUGAAGAUGAGUUGAAAUACAUAGAUGAUGAAGAGGACUUGGAUGCAAUGGCAUCUGAGAAAGAAGAGAAACAACAAGCAGAUGAAGAUGAUCUGCUUUCUCUUGAACAAGAUUCAGAGGAACAGAAGCAGAUCAUUAGUACCAGCACUGUUGAAUCAUUACCACAUCGUAUUGACUUAAAAGAUACAGAGUACUCUGAAAAAGAGCACAUUCAUGUCAACCUUGGUUUAGAGAUCUGUGAGGAAACUGCUGCAUCUUGGCGAGAAUCAUCUCAAAAGAGUGAUAUGGAACUCAGUGGAAGUAUGCAAGCUAUGGAGAAUGAUUGGAACCGUUUUGAAUUUAUUGAUAAAGAAGAGAAUGUGUCCUAUGAAGGUAUGAAAAGUGACUGGAAAACUCUUGAUGAUGUAAACAAUAUGCUGGAAAACAUGGAAAGCCUGGCGAAAGACAGAGAUCUUGAAAACGUUGAAGACAACACCUCGACAGAAUCGCAGACAGAUGACGAGAUGGAGCUGUACCUGAACAGUCUGAAGAAUUCACAACAGUCAGUAUUCAGAGAAAGUGCAAUGAGUGGGAGCUACUGCAAAAGACCCUCCUUGAGCAGAGGGAGGCCGUUAGCUAUGCCUUCAAUCUCUGAGUCUAUGGACGAGGACCAGCUGAAUAGUUCCCUAGAGGAUUCAACAAAUAUGGAGUACAACAUGGAUCUGGAGAGAGCUACACUGCCCCUAGUGGAUGGGAAUGAACAUGUCAUUGGAUGUAAUGUCUUGUGGUGGAAAGAGUUUCUGUCCUAUGACAAUAUGUUAAGAGUGACUGGAUACACAUUUUUGUUGGUAGUGUUUUUAGUCGCAGCAUAUUAUUACGACUUCAUUGCAUGUUUUGCUCUGUAUAUUAUUACAGUGUAUUGGCUGUUUCGUCAAGGAGAGGAAGAACCACUGAAAACUUCUAGGAAAGGUGAAAGAGGAUUGCAGUAA